rnacentral:rRNA from 1 species
UGGGGAAUUUUGGACAAUGGGCGAAAGCCUGAUCCAGCAAUGCCGCGUGUGUGAAGAAGGCCUUCGGGUUGUAAAGCACUUUUGUCCGGAAAGAAAUCCUUGGCUCUAAUACAGUCGGGGGAUGACGGUACCGGAAGAAUAAGCACCGGCUAACUACGUGCCAGCAGCCGCGGUAAUACGUAGGGUGCAAGCGUUAAUCGGAAUUACUGGGCGUAAAGCGUGCGCAGGCGGUUUGCUAAGACCGAUGUGAAAUCCCCGGGCUCAACCUGGGAACUGCAUUGGUGACUGGCAGGCUAGAGUAUGGCAGAGGGGGGUAGAAUUCCACGUGUAGCAGUGAAAUGCGUAGAGAUGUGGAGGAAUACCGAUGGCGAAGGCAGCCCCCUGGGCAAGUACUGACGCUCAUGCACGAAAGCGUGGGGAGCAAACNGGAUUAAUACCCUGGUAGUCCACGCCCUAAANGAUGUCAACUAGUUGUUGGGGGAUUUCAUUUUCCUUAGUAACGUAGCUAACGCGUGAAGUUGACCGCCUGGGGAGUACGGUCGCAAGAUUAAAACUUAAAU